rnacentral:lncRNA from 1 species
ACAGGGAGUAAUUUCUAGCAAAUCGUGUUUCUUGGACCAAGACUAGAGCUUGAACCAGGUUUUAGCAUCCAAAAAUAACCGUUUCUUCCACUGAGCAAAACAACUGCAACCACAUUCCACGGUCGCAAGCUGAGCUGCAGAUCACACACAUUGCCCCAUGCGCAUGCAUACAUACGUGUCGGGCACACUAGGACAAGUAGGCUACGUUACUCAGUCGUGGCCGUCGACAAAGGCCGCGGCCGGCGCCAGCGACGCCCGCGUCGGCGGACACUCAUAGCCUAGCGCCGGGGGCGGGCCGCAGAAGCGGCGGAUCAGGGAGUCGCACGUCCACUCGCGGACGCAGGCGAGCAGCUCGCAGCAGUAGUGGCUGAUGGGGCCGUCCUUGCCGCCGGAGAAGAGCGCCCGGGAGAACUCCCCCGCGCACCACCUCGGCACACCGGUCGCCGUCUUGGAGCAGUUCUCGGUGGCGAGGACGGCCGCGGCUCGCGGCGGGGCGGGGCUUGGGACGCCGCCGGCGAGGGCGACGGCCAGGAGGAGGCAGACGCACAUGCAGAUCUGCCGGAGCGCCAUUGCCGCAGGGUGCUUGAUCUGUUCGAUUUGCAGGGUCUGGCGUUUGCUGUCAGUAUAUAGGAGGAGGGUGUAAUGGACGUAUUAAAUUGGCGGCUUACAUUUUUGGAACCAUGUUUAUGAGUUGCUUAAUUUGACAAUCAUUAAUAUCAAUUGUUUUUUAUGAGCAUUUCCUAGUUAUCCUAAGUUUCCGGAGUAUAUCGUUUGAUCCGAUCAUAUAGUGCUUUAGUUACAUUAUCAUAUGGAUAUACUCCCUCCGUCCCAAAAUACCGUAUAAUAUGCCUUAUUUAGGGCAUCUUCAAU